rnacentral:rRNA from 1 species
UGCCAGCAGCCGCGGUAAUACGGAGGGAUCGAACGUUAAUCGGAAUUACUGGGCGUAAAGCGCGCGUAGGCGGUUUCUUAAGUGGGAUGUGAAAGCCCCGGGCUCAACCUGGGAAUUGCAUUCCAUACUGGGGAACUAGAGUGUGAUAGAGGGAGGUAGAAUUUCCUGUGUAGCGGUGAAAUGCGUAGAUAUAGGAAGGAAUACCAGUGGCGAAGGCGGCCUCCUGGAUCAACACUGACGCUGAGGUGCGAAAGCGUGGGGAGCAAACAGGAUUAGAUA